CUGUCUUGGCUUUCUCGUGGGCACCAUGGGCCGGGAUGCGCAAGGAGCUGCCCACGCACCCCACAAUCCCACAUUCCUCAGGCUGGCACCCUGCUGGCCGGAGGUUCCAGAUGUUCCACCCAGAUGGGGGCUUUUUGAGGCGUCAGGCUGCACGCAGAGCGGGAUCCUAAGCUCCAUUUCUACAUGGGGAAACCGAGGCGCACCACCACACACAGGUCUUACCCUGGUUCCAGCCACCAUCCUCUUUCAUCUGGAUUUCUGCAAUAGCCUCCCGACUGGUCUCCCUGCCUCCACCCUUGGCCCCCUGCAGUUGAUUCUCUACACAGCAGUCAGAGCCAUCCUUUUAAAACAAUUCAAGGUAACUCUAGCACUAAGCUCUCAGAACAAGUCUUCAGGAAGCUUUUCCUGAUGGUAGACUCUUACGGACCCCAUGGCCAAUGACCUUAGUGUCAUUGUUAAGCAAAUGCAUACAUGAGAUUCAUGGAGCUGAUUUUGAUGAGGUCUCUUGACAAAAGCUGGGCAUCAUCCCACAUCUAAAUUGGUAAAGGUUCCAAAGGUCGUUUACACCUGUUGUCUAAUUUGCUCCUGAUAAUCACCUGUAAGUAAGAUGAGGCAUUUUUACAGGAGUUCACCAAUUCCAGGGCAGAGCAUUUGGGGCAGUGGCCAGAGGGGUCUAGAGCAUGAGCAAGCCCAGAAAAAAACAAAACAAACCAAACAAA